rnacentral:lncRNA from 1 species
GGAACAGGCCAAAAAGCAAGAACUGCUGGACAAGGUCAACACUGCUGAUCAGAAGGUCAGAAGUUCAGCAGCCAGUCAUUCAAAAGAGAAGGAUUUUGAAAGCAUUAGUCACACCACAUCCCUUGCUUAAAGCUAUGGAAGAGAGAGCAGUUCAGAGAGCAGAACGGAGGAAGCAAUUUGAAGAAGCAAAAAAAAACCGAGAAGACAAAAUGCUGGCAAGUAAAACUAAGUUGACUUAAAUAUCCAGCAGGUAGAUAAUAAAAGGACCAAU